AUCAGCUGCCGGAGGAACUCCAGGUUCAAACCUGGCACGUAUUCCUCCACUGAUUGUGUUUCAUCUGCAUCUUCCUGUAAAUAUAUUGGAUGUCGGCGUCGCCGCGGCACAGCGCGCACUGCUCGGCGCCGCAGCGGCCGCCGCAGGUGUCGCCGGUAGCCGCACCAUUCUCCGGCGAGUGAAGCUUGCCGUUUUUCGUCACCUGAAGGAAUUAUGUUUUGUUAUUGAAUGCACGAGAGGCGUGACAAGAGAAUUGGCGUCAUAUUAUGUACAAGAAAUUCGAAAUAUUUUUUUUAUUUUUUUCAAUUGUCAAAGCUGUUAACACUAUUGUCUCUACGUGCUGGUCUGAAUGGACCUUAGCGCUGCACAUGUUAUUCAGAAAAAGAUCUGAAUUUCUAAUUAAAAAACAGGCUGAACAACCAA